AUGUCUUCUGUCUUCAGCCCAGCUGGCUUCAAAGGCAGUAAUCAUAGUUGGGUAGGGCGGGCAGAGGCCAUGAAGCCAGUGGAGUAUAAGCAAGAUACUUCCCAGUUGAGUUCCAGACUGGGUGCCACCAAGAUUCUGGCCUACCACUCUUCUCUCAUGGAUCCUGACACCAAACUCAUCGGAAACAUGGCACUGCUGCCUAUCAGAAGUCAGUUCAAAGGACCUGCCCCUCGAGAGACAAAAGAUACAGAUAUUGUGGAUGAGGCCAUCUAUUACUUCAAGGCCAAUGUCUUCUUCAAAAACUAUGAAAUUAAGAAUGAAGCGGAUAGGACCUUGAUCAAUAUAACUCUCUACAUUUCUGAAUGCCUAAAGAAACUCCAGAAGUGCAAUUCCAAAAGCCAAGGUGAGAAAGAAAUGUACACACUGGGCAUCACUAACUUCCCCACUCCUGGAGAGCCUGGGUUUCCACUUAAUGCCAUUUAUGCCAAGCCUGCAAACAAACAGAAAGACGAAGUGAUGAGAGCCUACUUAACAGCAGCUAAGACAAGACACCGGACUAAGAUUUUGGGAGAAAGUUUUUGACCCUCAGAAUGACAAACUUAGCAUGUGGUGGACUUGUUUUGUGAAGAGACAGUUCAUGAACAAGAGUCUUUCAGGACCUGGACAGUAAAGGGAACCCAGGGCACACUGUCCCCACAGUCAUAGGCAGCAUUUUACAGCAAGAUGUACACAGUUCUUUGUCUUCAUUUUGUAAAGUUUUAUACAGCAGAGAGAAGAGAGCAUGUGUUUACUUGAAAACUGCUUUAUC